rnacentral:lncRNA from 1 species
CUAAGCUCCAGGUUCCAAAAGUGGCAUAUUGUCACUAUAGCAACCACCAUGCUUACUUGGAUUUGAAACCCAGGCAACGAGUGGUGGAUAGGACUAUAACAUUAAGGUAGAUAUAUGCUCUGAUGGACUGGUAUGCCUGCCUGUUGAUAGUCAAUGAUUGCAUUUCUCUGGAAUGACCACAGCAAUAUUUCCAGCCGUUGAUGAUCUUCUAGAACUUUGCCACUUCCCUGCAUCAAGAGGUAAAAUCCAUUUCUAUUCUCUUGAAUUUGAACUGGACUUUGCUUCAAUGAAUUGAGGGCUGAAGAAUUAACACUCUGUGACUUCAUGACUUGUUGGAAAUUGUGAGGAAUCUCAGGCCACAUGGAGGGGCCAGUGAAGAUGUUCCAGCUUAUAGCCCCAGCAACCACCAGACUAACCAGAAUUGGCUACAGUUUCUUCAAGAAAAUACCCCAAUGGAAGAAAAACAGGUGGAGGGAGAAACUGAAUGAAGAAAGGAUGAUUUGAAAUUACCAGAAAGUGGAACAUGGAAAAAACAGAUUAAAACUAGUUUGAGAAUAAAAUCUUAGGUUGUUACACCUUCUGGGAAUUUAUUCUUUAAAUAUUGCUUUUAACUGGAUUCUUUGGUAAAUAGUAAAUGCAUUUUGGCUUUGAU